CCAUCAUUUGCCCCAUUUCAACUUUUGGGAUGUCCAUAGACCAAGAAUGCAUGAUCUGAUUUGUGUAGAACUGGCCCGGAUCUAAUAACAUCCUCAGAUCAGAGGAACACAAGUCCCGUCGAAAGUAGUACAAACACGCGAAGCUUUAAGGUGUUCGUAUUUGACUAUCAACAUGGUUUCUAGAUUGUGAUAUACAUAUGUAUUUGGCCAGUAUCAGGAUUAUGAUCAUUGUUUUCUGUGAUUUAUUGGUUGGUAUACAGCUGACCCAGUUCAGCAGCGGAGGGAUGUAUAUGAAAAGACAACGAACCGCCGAACUUAUCAGUUGAGACGAAACGCGGCUCGGAGAGAUCAUAGCUUCUGAGUGACAACAACGAGGUGUUCCUGACACCCGUACAUAUGUCCAUCAGGACGACGCAGUUCCACCACAACGUGCACAGUCACAGAGACUCCUACCACAGCAGGGAAAGUUGGUCGAGACCUUCCACUGCAAGUCGGUGAGACGAGCUGCAUCGUUGGAGGAGCCGGAAUAGACGUCCGUGUGCCUUAUAAAGUCGGGAAGAAGGGAACCCAGAACAGCGCCGUCGACAGGAGGAAGGCAACGAGAGGAGAGUGCCAGACGAGCAGCAGAUCUAGAGCAGCCAAUCGAUUGCGCUGCUACAACCAUAGUAAACCUAAGACUAUUUAGAGAAUCACAGACUGGUUUUGAGUUGAUUUAUACCAUGACUAUGUAUUUUAAUGUACCAGGUAUACAUUGUAAAGUAGUAGUUGAUUGUACAUGUAUAUCAAAGAAGCGUAGAACAGCGACGAUGGACCGAAUCAAACCUGAGGUGGAUAUAGUAAUGGAGAAAGCCCCCAUUGGAAUAUCCAUUACAAUUAUUCUGUAUCCAACCUGUGACCGAAGUUAGCGGGAUCAGCAUUAUGUAGUAACGUCAAACACAGUCUCCCGUGCCCAGUGUACGGAAAACCAUGUCUCUGCGUUCUUCCUUUAUUCUAGCUGUGCUAGUCCUUGUCUUCAAAGUAGAAUCUAAACCACUUGAAAUCCAUUGCUUUCAUGACUUGUUUGAAAUAUGUGACUUAUUAACCUUUCAAAAUCAAACUUUACUUAAUAUGUAUCUAUAUAGCAGGUAUAACUGCCCUUCGGCGUAACACACCAGCUUCAAUUCCAAACGACAACCACCUGAAAGCACAUCACUUCUAUUUUAUAGAUAUCGACAUAAAACUGUGACAUAUUCGUCUUCAUUAUUUUUUUUUACCUCGUGGAAGCAUCUCAUCCCACAUUGCGAAAGUGAAGCGCAAAAGAUAUAAGCAAAAGCUAUGCUAUAUUUGUCUUUAUUGGUCUUCUUUAAAAGAUCUUAUUUUUCUACCUUUAAAAUCAUCUUAUUUUUCUAUCUUCAAAAUCAUCCUUUCUAUAGCUCCAAACGACAACCACUAGAAAGUAUUCCAUUCCAAAUUGUAAAAAGCACAAGCUUAUAUAGGAAAUAAAAGCUAGGACAUAUUGGUCUUUAUUAUAACAGUCAUAAGCAGGUGAAACAUCGUAACAAUCUGUAAGAGUGUACUGCCUAUGAUGUGCAGUCAUUCCCAGCUAUUUGAAAAGACCGUUCCCUUAAAUCAUUAAUCCUGACACAAAGAAUGCAUCAACAAA